rnacentral:rRNA from 1 species
UACGAAGGGGGCUAGCGUUGCUCGGAAUGACUGGGCGUAAAGGGCGCGUAGGCGGUUCGUACAGUCAGAUGUGAAAUUCCUGGGCUCAACCUGGGGGCUGCAUUUGAUACGUGUGGACUAGAGUGGGGAAGAGGGUCGUGGAAUUCCCAGUGUAGAGGUGAAAUUCGUAGAUAUUGGGAAGAACACCGGUGGCGAAGGCGGCGACCUGGUCCUUGACUGACGCUGAGGCGCGAAAGCGUGGGGAGCAAACAGG